UAAGCAUUCCGCCUGGGGAGUACGGCCGCAAGGCUGAAACUCAAAGGAAUUGACGGGGGCCCGCACAAGCGGCGGAGCAUGUGGUUUAAUUCGAAGCUACGCGAAGAACCUUACCAGGUCUUGACAUACUAUGCAAAUCUAAGAGAUUAGACGUUCCCUUCGGGGACAUGGAUACAGGUGGUGCAUGGUUGUCGUCAGCUCGUGUCGUGAGAUGUUGGGUUAAGUCCCGCAACGAGCGCAACCCUUAUUAUCAGUUGCCAGCAUUAAGUUGGGCACUCUGGUGAGACUGCCGGUGACAAACCGGAGGAAGGUGGGGAUGACGUCAAAUCAUCAUGCCCCUUAUGACCUGGGCUACACACGUGCUACAAUGGAUGGUACAACGAGUUGCGAACUCGCGAGAGUAAGCUAAUCUCUUAAAGCCAUUCUCAGUUCGGAUUGUAGGCUGCAACUCGCCUACAUGAAGUCGGAAUCGCUAGUAAUCGCGGAUCAGCAUGCCGCGGUGAAUACGUUCCCGGGCCUUGUACACACCGCCCGUCACACCAUGAGAGUUUGUAACACCCAAAGUCGGUGGGGUAACCUUUUAGGAACCAGCCGCCUAAGGUGGGACAGAUGAUUAGGGUGAAGUCGUAACAAGGUAGCCGUAGGAGAACCUGCGGCUGGAUCACCUCCUU
rnacentral:rRNA from 2 species